rnacentral:rRNA from 1 species
CCUACGGGUGGCAGCAGUGGGGAAUUUUGCGCAAUGCUCGUAAGAGUGACGCAGCGACGCCGCGUGAGUGAAGAAGUAUUUCGGUACGUAAAGCUCUAUCAGCAGGGAAGAAAAUGACGGUACCUGACUAAGAAGCCCCGGCUAACUACGUGCCAGCAGCCGCGGUACUACGUAGGGUGCCAGCGUUAUCCGGAUUUACGGGGUUUAAAGGGAGCGUCGAAGGCGGCGCAAGUCUGUGGUGAAAACCAACGGCUUAACCAUGGAACUGGUUUGGAAACUGUGCAGCUAGAGUGCAGGAGAGGUAAGCGGAAUUCCUAGUGUAGCGGUGAAAUGCGUAGAUAUUAGGAGGAACACCAGUGGCGAAGGCAGCUUACUGGACUGUAACUGACGUUGAGGCUCGAAAGCGUGGGGAGCAAACAGGAUUAGAUACCCCAGUAGUC